AUGAACGCUAGCGACAGGCUUAACACAUGCAAGUCGAGGGGCAGCGGGGGUAGCAAUACCCGCCGGCGACCGGCGCACGGGUGAGUAACGCGUAUGCAACUUGCCUAUCAGAGGGGGAUAACCCGGCGAAAGUCGGACUAAUACCGCAUGAAGCAGGGGCCCCGCAUGGGGAUAUUUGCUAAAGAUUCAUCGCUGAUAGAUAGGCAUGCGUUCCAUUAGGCAGUUGGCGGGGUAACGGCCCACCAAACCGACGAUGGAUAGGGGUUCUGAGAGGAAGGUCCCCCACAUUGGUACUGAGACACGGACCAAACUCCUACGGGAGGCAGCAGUGAGGAAUAUUGGUCAAUGGCCGAGAGGCUGAACCAGCCAAGUCGCGUGAGGGAUGAAGGUUCUAUGGAUCGUAAACCUCUUUUAUAAGGGAAUAAAGUGCGGGACGUGUCCCGUUUUGUAUGUACCUUAUGAAUAAGGAUCGGCUAACUCCGUGCCAGCAGCCGCGGUAAUACGGAGGAUCCGAGCGUUAUCCGGAUUUAUUGGGUUUAAAGGGUGCGUAGGCGGCCUUUUAAGUCAGCGGUGAAAGUCUGUGGCUCAACCAUAGAAUUGCCGUUGAAACUGGGGGGCUUGAGUAUGUUUGAGGCAGGCGGAAUGCGUGGUGUAGCGGUGAAAUGCAUAGAUAUCACGCAGAACCCCGAUUGCGAAGGCAGCCUGCCAAGCCAUUACUGACGCUGAUGCACGAAAGCGUGGGGAUCAAACAGGAUUAGAUACCCUGGUAGUCCACGCAGUAAACGAUGAUCACUAGCUGUUUGCGAUACACUGUAAGCGGCACAGCGAAAGCGUUAAGUGAUCCACCUGGGGAGUACGCCGGCAACGGUGAAACUCAAAGGAAUUGACGGGGGCCCGCACAAGCGGAGGAACAUGUGGUUUAAUUCGAUGAUACGCGAGGAACCUUACCCGGGUUUGAACGCAUUCGGACCGAGGUGGAAACACCUUUUCUAGCAAUAGCCGUUUGCGAGGUGCUGCAUGGUUGUCGUCAGCUCGUGCCGUGAGGUGUCGGCUUAAGUGCCAUAACGAGCGCAACCCUUGCCACUAGUUACUAACAGGUAAAGCUGAGGACUCUGGUGGGACUGCCAGCGUAAGCUGCGAGGAAGGCGGGGAUGACGUCAAAUCAGCACGGCCCUUACAUCCGGGGCGACACACGUGUUACAAUGGCGUGGACAAAGGGAGGCCACCUGGCGACAGGGAGCGAAUCCCCAAACCACGUCUCAGUUCGGAUCGGAGUCUGCAACCCGACUCCGUGAAGCUGGAUUCGCUAGUAAUCGCGCAUCAGCCAUGGCGCGGUGAAUACGUUCCCGGGCCUUGUACACACCGCCCGUCAAGCCAUGGAAGCUGGGGGUGCCUGAAGUUCGUGACCGCAAGGAGCGACCUAGGGCAAAACCGGUGACUGGGGCU
rnacentral:rRNA from 1 species